GGUAUAUGGGUAUUCCUAUGUGUCCUAGUUAGGACAGCUGAGACCAGUUCAUCACUGGAUGGGUGUAACCCAAAACUGUGUAUUCUAUAGCCUUCCAUGCCAUUUCCCAGAAACUAGACUAUUGAUGUCA